GCCAGGCACAGUGGCUCAUGCCUGUAAUCCCAGUGACUUGGGAGGCUGAGGCAGGAGGAUCUGGAGUUCAAAGCCAGCCUCAGCAACAACGAAGUGCUAAGCAACUCAGUGAGACCCUGUCUCUA
rnacentral:sRNA from 1 species